UCUGUCCCAACCUCUUGGUUUUCAGAGAAGUAACCUGAAUCUGAGCUGGGGGAGGCCUUGUCCAUGGGGGACACUGCCACGCGAGUUAUUUGAUUAGUUAACUAGUUAGUCGACUAGUUAGUCCGCUAGUCAACUGGUUAGUUAGCUAGUCAAAUAGGCAGUUGGGUAACUAGUUAGCUAGCCAACUAACUAGCUAGCUAUUCAACUAGUUAAUCAGCUAAAUAACUAGUUGACUAGUUAGUCAAGUGGUUAGUCAGAUAGUUAACUAGUGAGCAGGCUAGGUGAUGAGUCAGCUAGUCAACUAGUUUGUUGACUAGUUAGAACUAGCUAAAACUAGUUAGUCUGCUAGUUGACUAGUCAGCUACCCUUGGAAAGGUUUCUGUCAUUAACACACUGCAUCGUUGGAGGAACCUCCAGAGCCUGUGGGCCCCGGGCUGCCUGGACACAAGCCCUGAAGCCUAUGAAACAUCAACCCCAGGUCUGUGGUUCGCCUCCCGGGGGACGUACAGUGAUGUCCGCCAAUUUCCAUGGUGUAAAUGCUUCCACGUGUUUGGUUUUCCCAGCACGGCAGAGCCCGGAGGCCUGUCAGCCAAGACACAGCCUGAGCAUCCGCAGAAGCCACUGCCCUUGAGCGGAGUCCUAGGCCGGCUGGGGUCAGAAGGCACAAAGGCAGAGGAGGGGCCCCCAGAGGUGAGCAGCCACCCACGGAAACCCUAACUCCAGUUCUCUGAAAAAAGUCUGAGACGUCUCCGAGUGUGAACUGCCCAUUCCUGGCCGAUGAGCUUCCGCCAGGUUCGUCCAAGAAAAUCAAACCUGAAUGGAGAAACCCCAGCCAGGAAAAAUGGAAUCCAGUUUGUCUUCGGCUAGGAUUUCGCAGUCGCAGAUGGAGAUUGUAAUCAGCUCUCCACAAGGUCAUCCGGGAGCGGCAAGGACAGUCUGGACCCCUCCUGGCUCUGCUCAGUAAUGGACAGAAGCAAUGGUGCAGAUAAUCUAGCCAAAUGAUCACUGGAGUCUUGAUUUUCUGUUGGUGGCCCUUGUCGCUGAACAGACCUCUCGUUUCUGUCUGCAGCCUCCUGGCUUCAGCCAGCCUUGGGGCCCAGCUCCAGCAACAGAAUCACUCAACAUUGGAAAGAUCUCCAGACAUCUACUUCCAAAAAUGCUCUCUCCACGGGAGGAUUCUUUUGAAAACCGAUGACUCUCUCAUCCACUGUAAAACCAUCGCCGUUAUCUUGAAGGAGCACGUUAAAUCUGUUUAUUUUCAUGAAACUGUCUUAAACAGCCUCCAAAUGUCAGCUGCUCAUCAUACAGAAAAGGUGAGGAAAUGUGGGGAGCUUCUUGGAAAAGAAAAUGGAGUACCCCAUUUCUGAUGCUUGACAGCUUUUUUAAGGUACUUUGUCACAGCUGAUGUGUGAUCUGUGGGGUACCUGAAUUUCCAAGGUCACCACUCACAUUAUUACAAAACUCUGAUAAGAUCAUCCUAAAAGCCUUGACUUGUCACCAAAUUUAACCCAGUGGAUGGCUCCCCCCACCCCCCACCUCCCCAUGCCCUGGAAGACUAUAUAAGCUGUAUAAUAUGUGUCCUGGCUAGGUCCACCAUGCCUGGCACCCCUGCUGGGGAGUGUGGGGUAAAUAAAUUAAUCAGGCUUUUUAUGCCUCUAGUCUCUGGCCAUCCUCUGUGGCCUUGAUCAUGCUGCUGCAGAAGGUGCUUGGGAGUGGGCACGCGCGCCU